rnacentral:rRNA from 1 species
CGCCGCGUGAGGGAUGACGGCCUUCGGGUUGUAAACCUCUUUCAGCUCCGACGAAGCGCCUUUGUAAGGUUGUGACGGUAGGUGCAGAAGAAGGACCGGCCAACUACGUGCCAGCAGCCGCGGUAAUACGUAGGGUCCGAGCGUUGUCCGGAAUUAUUGGGCGUAAAGGGCUCGUAGGCGGUUUGUCGCGUCGGGAGUGAAAACUUACAGCUUAACUGUGAGCGUGCUUCCGAUACGGGCAGACUUGAGGUAUUCAGGGGAGAACGGAAUUCCUGGUGUAGCGGUGAAAUGCGCAGAUAUCAGGAGGAACACCGGUGGCGAAGGCGGUUCUCUGGGAAUAUCCUGACGCUGAGGAGCGAAAGUGUGGGGAGCGAACAGGAUUAGAUACCCUGGUAGUCCACACCGUAAACGUUGGGCGCUAGGUGUGGGGUCCAUUCCACGGAUUCCGUGCCGCAGCUAACGCAUUAAGCGCCCCGCCUGGGGAGUACGGCCGCAAGGCUAAAACUCAAAGGAAUUGACGGGGGCCCGCACAAGCGGCGGAGCAUGCGGAUUAAUUCGAUGCAACGCGCAGAACCUUACCUGGGUUUGACAUAUGCCGGAAAGCCGUAGAGAUAUG